UAGGAUAAUAGUUUACAUAAACAUUUAAUUUGCAUUUAAAAAAAAUUAUUAAUUAAUUUAUCUU
rnacentral:tRNA from 1 species